CGGGCCGUACCAUUGCCAGCUGCUUCUUCACAUCUGGAGAGAGAGCCAGUGAGGAUUGCACUGCAGGAGCUGUGGCCAGACCGGCUCCCUGCCAGAGCAGAAGAACGCUCUCUUUUGGAGACGCCGGCAGAGAGAAGGUCGGCCAGCUGCUACUCAACCUCUCUGAGCUUAUCCCAGCCUUUGACCCCCGAGUCUCACUGAUAAGUAGAACGAUACAGACUUAGUUAAACGCUGUAUUUAGUGGCAACAACAUAGCCAGUGUCUGCGGGAACAGAAUUCCCGCCAGGGCGCGGCCUGAGUAGCUGGGCUGCUGCCAGAGAAGAGGGCCAGGAACUGCGGAGCCACGUUUGCUGGCUAAAACAGCAGCAGAUUAAGCACAACCUCUGUGCCAAUGGAAAACACUUAAGGGCUGGGGAUGUAGCUCAAUGGUAUAGCCCUUGUCUAGCAUGUGUGAGGUCCUAGGUUCAGUGCACCCCUACCCCCCAUAAAACAAAAUCCAGGAAAGCCUCAAAUACAUUCCUCUCAAGGCUAUAGUUGUAGCCAUGUCAUGGUGACAUAUGCCUGUAAUGCUAACAUUUAGGAGGUAGAAGCAGGACAAUCAGGAGUUCUAAGGACAGCCUCAGCUAGCUAGUGAAUCUGAGGCUAGCCUGGACCACAUGAGACCCUGCCUCAAAAGAUGAGUUCUGUCUAUAGCCACACUAUCCAGAUGUCUCCUGGGACAGACCCUACUUUCUCAGCCCUGGAAGUUCCGCAGCAAAGCGGGCCUGGGCUCAGCCGCGUCUGUGCUUGCCUUCUCCUCCAGCUCUUCCCGCCCACCCGUAUGGACUUGCUUAUCUUUAGCCAUGUCUUGCCGUCCCAAGAACACUGGUUCUAUGGAGUCCCGGGCCUUCCUUCACUGCUGCCAAGUUCUACGUCCACAAUACUCCCCGGAUGACUCAACCUUCAUGAAACACCAAAGUUUUGUGAUCCGCUGUAGCCUGUGUGUCCAGCGUCAUCUCUGGCUAUUCUCAUAAAACCAUUAUGCCAAACCUGA